rnacentral:rRNA from 1 species
UACGAAGGGGGCUAGCGUUGUUCGGAUUACUGGGCGUAAAGCGCGCGUAGGCGGGUCACUAAGUCAGGGGUGAAAUCCCGAGGCUUAACCUCGGAACUGCCUUUGAUACUGGUGACCUGGAGAUCGGGAGAGGUUGGUGGAAUUCCGAGUGUAGAGGUGAAAUUCGUAGAUAUUCGGAGGAACACCGAGAAGCGAAGGCGGCCAACUGGCCCGAUAC